rnacentral:tRNA from 1 species
GGGCCUGUAGCUCAGAGGAUUAGAGCGCGUGGUUACGAACCACGUUGUCGGGGGUUCAAAUCCCUCCUGGCCCA